GAUUACACAAGAAAUAUAUGAAAUCUUAUAAAAAUGGGGGAAGUUUAGGAAAAUCAGUAAGAAAUUAAAAAGGAUCGGAAUGCAAAUCAAUAAGCUUAAAACAAGGAAUGCUGUUAUGAUUAACGGAUAAAGAAGACAAAACUUAUAAGAGGAGAUCAUUAAGAUGUUCGAAUGAAGUGUCCACUAGUCAGUUCCAAGUAGAUAACAACUUUUGUGGAAUAAAAAGUAGAGACCCUAAAAAGUAUCAUGAAAAUUAUGAGAUGAUGGUAGAAAUAAUAAGUCCAAAACUAAGAAUGUUUGUUUAUACUUAUAAGUUCAUGACUUAAGAUAAGUUGAUGCAAAAAAAUAGAAAAAGGUCAAAAAGGUGAUCUGAGUUAAAAAAA
rnacentral:lncRNA from 1 species